rnacentral:rRNA from 1 species
CAGUCGCCGCAGUAAUACGAAGGGUGCAAGCGUUACUCGGAAUUACUGGGCGUAAAGCGUGCGUAGGUGGUGGUUUAAGUCCGUUGUGAAAGCCCUGGGCUCAACCUGGGAAUUGCAGUGGAUACUGGGUCACUAGAGUGUGGUAGAGGAUAGUGGAAUUUCCGGUGUAGCAGUGAAAUGCGUAGAGAUCGGAAGGAACAUCUGUGGCGAAGGCGACUAUCUGGGCCAACACUGACACUGAGGCACGAAAGCGUGGGGAGCAAACAGGAUUAGAGACCCCCGUAGUCCCUGUCUCUUAUAC